GAGCUCCGCAAGGAGUGACUGCGUACCUUUUGUAUAAUGGGUCAGCGACUUACUGUUCGUGGCAAGCUUAACCGUAUAGGGGAGGCGAAGGGAAACCGAGUCUGAUAAGGGCGCAUAGUCGCGGGCAGUAGACCCGAAACCGGGUGAUCUAGUCAUGCCCAGGGUGAAGGUGCGGUAACACGCACUGGAGGCCCGAACCCACUCCCGUUGCAAAGGUAGGGGAUGAGGUGUGAUUAGGAGUGAAAAGCUAAUCGAACCCGGAGAUAGCUGGUUCUCCUCGAAAGCUAUUUAGGUAGCGCCUCAUAUGUAUCCUCUCGGGGGUAGAGCACUGUUAUGGCUAGGGGGUCAUCGCGACUUACCAAACCAUUGCAAACUCCGAAUACCGAGACGGACUGUAUGGGAGACACACGGCGGGUGCUAACGUCCGUCGUGAAAAGGGAAACAACCCAGACCCACAGCUAAGGUCCCAAAUUUUGUGCUAAGUGGAAAACCAUGUGGAAAGGCACAGACAGCCAGGAGGUUGGCUUAGAAGCAGCCACCCUUUAAAGAAAGCGUAAUAGCUCACUGGUCGAGUCGGUCUGCGGGGAAGAUUUAACGGGGCUAAGCACAGAACCGAAGCUUGGGGUGCAUAACUUUGUUAUGCGCGGUAGAGGAGCGUUCCGUAAGCCGUUGAAGGUGGAUUGAGAAGUCUGCUGGAGGUAUCGGAAGUGCGAAUGCUGACAUGAGUAACGAUAAUGCGGGUGAAAAACCCGCACGCCGAAAGCCCAAGGUUUCCUUGCGCAACGUUAAUCGGCGCAGGGUGAGUCGGCCCCUAAGGCGAGGACGAAAGUCGUAGUCGAUGGGAAGCAGGUUAAUAUUCCUGCACCUCGCGUAAGUGCGAUGGAGGGACGGAGAAGGUUAGGUGUACCAGGCGUUGGUUGUCCUGGGGAAAGGCGGUAGGUUUGGAUCUUUGGCAAAUCCGGGAUCCUUUAAGACCGAGCACCGAGACGAGCCUUUAUGGCGAAGUCACUGAUACCACGCUUCCAGGAAAAGCUCCUAAGCUUCAGCUUACGCAGACCGUACCGUAAACCGACACAGGUGGGUAGGAUGAGAAUUCUCAGGCGCUUGAGAGAACUCGGGUGAAGGAACUAGGCAACAUGGCACCGUAACUUCGGGAGAAGGUGCACCCUUUUUGGUGGCUCGUGCGAGCUAUAGCUGAAGAGGGUCGCAGUAACCAGGCCGCUGCGACUGUUUAUCAAAAACACAGCACUCUGCAAACACGAAAGUGGACGUAUAGGGUGUGACGCCUGCCCGGUGCUGGAAGGUUAAUUGAUGGGGUCAGCCGCAAGGCGAAGCUCUUGAUCGAAGCCCCAGUAAACGGCGGCCGUAACAAUAACGGUCCUAAGGUAGCGAAAUUCCUUGUCGGGUAAGUUCCGACCUGCACGAAUGGCGUAACGACAGCGGCGCUGUCUCCACCCGAGACUCAGUGAAAUUGAAAUCGCUGUGAAGAUGCAGUGUAUCCGCGGCUAGACGGAAAGACCCCGUGAACCUUUACUAUAGCUUUGCACUGGACUUUGAAUUUGCUUGUGUAGGAUAGGUGGGAGGCUUUGAAGUGGGGACGCCAGUUCUCAUGGAGCCAUCCUUGAAAUACCACCCUGGCAACUUUGAGGUUCUAACUCAGGUCCGUUAUCCGGAUCGAGGACAGUGUAUGGUGGGUAGUUUGACUGGGGCGGUCUCCUCCCAAAGAGUAACGGAGGAGUACGAAGGUGCGCUCAGACCGGUCGGAAAUCGGUCGUAGAGUAUAAAGGCAAAAGCGCGCUUGACUGCGAGACCCACACGUCGAGCAGGUACGAAAGUAGGUCUUAGUGAUCCGGUGGUUCUGUAUGGAAGGGCCAUCGCUCAACGGAUAAAAGGUACUCCGGGGAUAACAGGCUGAUACCGCCCAAGAGUUCAUAUCGACGGCGGUGUUUGGCACCUCGAUGUCGGCUCAUCACAUCCUGGGGCUGUAGUCGGUCCCAAGGGUAUGGCUGUUCGCCAUUUAAAGUGGUACGCGAGCUGGGUUCAGAACGUCGUGAGACAGUUCGGUCCCUAUCUGCCAUGGGCGUUGGAGAUUUGAGAGGGGCUGCUCCUAGUACGAGAGGACCGGAGUGGACGAACCUCUGGUGUUCCGGUUGUCACGCCAGUGGCAUUGCCGGGUAGCUAUGUUCGGAAGCGAUAACCGCUGAAAGCAUCUAAGCGGGAAGCGCGCCUCAA
rnacentral:rRNA from 1 species